GAUGAACGCUAGCUACAGGCUUAACACAUGCAAGUCGAGGGGAAACGAUAUUGGAAGCUUGCUUCCGAUAGGCGUCGACCGGCGCACGGGUGAGUAACGCGUAUCCAACCUGCCCACCACUUGGGGAUAACCUUUCGAAAGUAAGACUAAUACCCAAUGAUAUCUCUAGAAGACAUCUGAAGGAGAUUAAAGAUUCAUCGGUGACGGAUGGGGAUGCGUCUGAUUAGCUUGUUGGCGGGGUAACGGCCCACCAAGGCGACGAUCAGUAGGGGUUCUGAGAGGAAGGUCCCCCACAUUGGAACUGAGACACGGUCCAAACUCCUACGGGAGGCAGCAGUGAGGAAUAUUGGUCAAUGGGCGAGAGCCUGAACCAGCCAAGUAGCGUGCAGGAUGACGGCCCUAUGGGUUGUAAACUGCUUUUAUAAGGGAAUAAAGUGAGUCUCGUGAGACUUUUUGCAUGUACCUUAUGAAUAAGGACCGGCUAAUUCCGUGCCAGCAGCCGCGGUAA
rnacentral:rRNA from 1 species